AGCGACGGUGCUUGCGCUGGUCAAUCUAGUGGCGAACGGGUGAGUAACACGUGGGUAACCUGCCCAUCAGAGGGGGAUAACAUUCGGAAACGGAUGCUAAAACCGCAUAGGUCCUUUAACCGCAUGGUUGAAGGAGGAAAAGAGGCGCAAGCUUCUGCUGAUGGAUGGACCCGCGGUGCAUUAGCUAGUUGGUGAGGUAACGGCUCACCAAGGCCGUGAUGCAUAGCCGACCUGAGAGGGUGAUCGGCCACAUUGGGACUGAGACACGGCCCAAACUCCUACGGGAGGCAGCAGUAGGGAAUCUUCCGCAAUGGACGCAAGUCUGACGGAGCAACGCCGCGUGAGUGAAGAAGGUUUUCGGAUCGUAAAACUCUGUUGUUAGAGAAGAACAAGUGCUAGAGUAACUGUUAGCGCCUUGACGGUAUCUAACCAGAAAGCCACGGCUAACUACGUGCCAGCAGCCGCGGUAAUACGUAGGUGGCAAGCGUUGUCCGGAUUUAUUGGGCGUAAAGCGAGCGCAGGCGGUUCCUUAAGUCUGAUGUGAAAGCCCCCGGCUCAACCGGGGAGGGUCAUUGGAAACUGGGGAACUUGAGUGCAGAAGAGGAGAGUGGAAUUCCAUGUGUAGCGGUGAAAUGCGUAGAUAUAUGGAGGAACUCCAGUGGCGAAGGCGACUCUCUGGUCUGUAACUGACGCUGAGGCUCGAAAGCGUGGGUAGCAAACAGGAUUAGAUACCCUGGUAGUCCACGCCGUAAACGAUGAGUGCUAAGUGUUGGAGGGUUUCCGCCCUUCAGUGCUG
rnacentral:rRNA from 1 species